UACGAGGGGGGCAAAUGUUGUUCGGAAUUACUGGGCGUAAAGGGAGCGUAGGCGGGUUUCUAAGUCAGGUGUUUAAUCCCGGGGCCCAACCCCGGACAGGCACUUGAAACUGGGAAUCUUGAAUAGUGGAGAGGUCAGUGGAAUUGGGGGUGUAGCGGUGGAAUGCGUAGAGAUCCCCAAGAACACCAGUUGCGAAGGCGGCUGACUGGACACAUAUUGACGCUGAGGCUCGAAAGCAUGGGGAGCAAACAGG
rnacentral:rRNA from 1 species